UGAACUGUAGUUUUUUUGUUUUUUUUUUUAUUUUUGCAAUCAUUGGACAUUAUAAUUAUGGUUUUGAUUUAUUCUUUUGAUGAUUCUAUCAACUUCAUUUUAUAUCUUUGCAGUUUACAGAAGGUAUUUCUCUUUUUUUGUACAACGUCAGUAGACGACAGAAUUUUUAGGCACAUAAUACCACGAAAUCCAUAAAACUAUGAUAUAGCGAUAAUAUUAGACAGACUCCCAAACUUCAAAACUUUCACUCAUUAUGAAGGAAAUUUAUCGGCCUAGACAUCAAGUGCAUAUGAAAUUUUCAAAACGUGCUCUACAAUCUUGCAUUAUCACUUGGAAUAGCAUUCAAAAGUUGUUACUUUGGUAAAAAGGUGCAAGUAUAAAUCUAUGUCAAACAGUAAAAUUAAACCAACCAUUCCACAUGCUUAUGUGUCCUGGCAGUGUUGUUACUUUGGUCAAAUGUGCAGCCCUCCUGAACAAAAUCUCUAAAAGGGAGAAGUCAAAACAAAAAGACGAACAGACACAACAGUCUGCAAAUCUCUCAACAGAAAACAAUUAUUGAGCCAUAAAAACUACACCAAACAAUGGAGGUGAAAUCGGUGCUAUCUGCUCUGAGAUUUUUGUCCUAAAGUUUGUUUGUUUUUUUUAAACAAGGAAUUAGUAACCAUGAACAAAUGGCAUGGAGCAUUAACAAAGAGUGUAACCUUUACGUUCAACGUUACAUUGUGACCUUAUUCGCAACAAGUAUUCUAGUGUUUCUGAACAAUCAAACAGAGUAUCAUCAUUGAACGCUAAACAAUACUCAGGAUCAUUGGGAUGUGUUUUAAUUUAAACGAUUUAUGAUUGAUGUUUUGUUGACAAUGAACAUUAAGUCUGCGAUAUUAAACAGAAAUAUAGACCUUCACCUUCAAGCUAGAGAUUCAAGUCUUAUGUACAUGUAGAUCUUGUAGUAUUGUUAAUAUCACCUUGAACUCCGAGUGGUAAUUCAAUUUAGAUUUAGAGAUGACUGCAAGUAUUUGAAACAUCAAACUAUGUGUUAUACAAAAUUGAUCACGUGUAAACCUUUACCUUCAAGCUGAAAUUCCCUGCCUUGUCCAUUACACACCUUCUGCUGGUUCACAUGAGAAAUAUUAUACAGUUGCAUCAACGAGUAAUGAGCUGUUUGCUGUUCUCAUGAUACAAGCUUUGGAAGGAAAAUAAUUUUCUACUGUUUAUUUGGUGAUCCAACUGAAAUUCCAAUAUGGUUAAACGAAAUUUAGAGAAUUUAGCGAUAGGGUUUGAUGUUGGAUAGCGACAAUAUAAAAGACUAUUGAUGUGGGGACCUUGGACUAGUAGACAUAUAACCGCCAUAGAGCAGCUGCAAUUGCGUAUUUCUUUAGCUCAGUUGGCGGAGCGAUGGCUUACUAUAUAUAGUCUUGGGUUCUAACUCCGGAUGGUACAGUGGUAAUUUGGGAGCAAAAUCAUGCUCCGCUGUUGCACAUUCAAUAGAACAAAUAUAUAUUUACUUAU